UGUUGUUUGGUCUGGGUAAGGUCUUGUAAACUAAAUUUAUGUGGUGAUAAGUGAGUCGUAAAGCUUUAUAACUGUUUGGUUGUUUAGAAUUUAGUGGGAUGUAGGUGGCUAUUAGGUCAUUUAUAUUUUUAUACAUUUGGUGAUGUGUGGUUUUUGAUAAGGUUAGAGGUACCUAGUUUUUGUUAUAUUGUUGUAAAUAUGGUUUUGUUGGUUUAUUGGUAUGUUAAUUGUUUGAACAACUGUUUUGCUAUAUUUGGUUAUUAUAUUAUCGUUGAAUAAGUAAUUUUAUUAUGCUAUUUAUUUCUUGAGUUCUUUCCGUCUGUUUAUUAAAAACAUUUCUAAUUUUAAUUGUAGUUAGUAGUGCCUGCCCAAUGUUGGUUAAUUAAUGGCCGCAGUAUAUUGACUGUGCAAAGGUAGCAUAAUUAAUUGCCUUUUAAUUGGAGGCUUGUUUGAAUGGUUUGACGUGAUUGGUAUGAAUAUUUGGUAUUUAGUUGAAAUUGAUUUUGAGGGUUUAGAAUCCUUAAUGUUUAAUAAGACGGAAAGACCCUAGGAUCUUUUGUUUUUGUUUGGGGCAAAUAUUGUUGUUUUAUGAAUAUUGUGACCCUGAGAUGGUAUUGGUUUAUUGGGUUAAG
rnacentral:rRNA from 1 species